AUCAAGAUAUUUUUUAACUAAAAAUGAGUCCUCUAUCCAUAACACUGCUUUCUCCAGUGAAAAAGUCAUCUUAUCUGAAUCAGGAGAGAAAUAUGCACAGAACCAAGAACCAUUUACAAGCCAAAACAAUUUGUAUCUGUUAUGUUGGACGAUUUGAUGUGAGAGGACAAGAGGGGAUGGAUUUUUUCACUGGAGGAAGUGUUAUUAUGGAUUAUGGAUUUAUGGACUAUUUUGGCCAGAAGCAACGAUUACAUCUUAAUGAUGGUAUUGUUUUCAUACAAACACACAGCUUUUCACUUAACAAGACAUUAACUGAUGGACUGGAGUGGUGUGGAUUACUUGUGAUGUUUUUAUCAGCUGUUUGGACUCUCAUUCUGACGGCACCCAUUCACUGCAGAGGAUCUAUUGGUGAACAAGUGCAGUAUUUCUCCAAAUCUGUCCCAGCAAAGAAACAAACUCAUUUACAUCUUGGAUGCCCUGAGGGUGAGUAUAUUUUCAGAAGAUUUUCAUUUUUUUUUUUUUGAGUAAUAUGUCUGAAAUUGCUUAAGUGACGAUGCACUGCAUGUCUUUGUAAAUUGUGAGCUUUUCAUUGAAUUAUCUGACUUAGUAUGAAACAGUCUCACCUUCAGUUGUUGUCUGAAUCUGAAUGACAUUCAGGUAUGUUUUUUGUCCCUCAUAUUCUAGCAGAACUGGUAUGUCCUGAAUCACUUUACAAACAUAAUCUCCAGUGUCAUUUUUACCUAUAUUUGUGAUUUUCAGAAAGGAGCAGUUUUUCAUAGGGGACGUUUGAUUUAGCCGCUUUUCUACCGGUAUUCUUUCCUUAUCCUUAUACCAAGCUACUUUAAAAUCAUUGUUUUCUUCUUUUGUUUUAUUCCAGCAGCAGCUGAUUUGAUCAGAUUGUCCUUCAUUCACAGUGAUACUAGAUGGGCUCUGAAUCACAGUCAGCUCCUCGUAUGAACCUUGGCAGCUUUAUUUUUUCAGAAGAUGUUUAGGGUGAAUGUGGCUCUUACCUCUGAAGCAAAUGCAGGACAAAAUGAGGCCACAGAUCAGAGGGCAGGAGAACUUCAUUUCGAAGCGUUUAAUCACAAAUCCAAACUAAGGUAACAUAAGCGCUGUCACACUCGCUCACAUUAAAACACACCAUCGGUCAUGACUUCCUCGAGUGUCAGUGUGCCCAAAGGGAAUCUUCUCACAAGGUACUUUGCCAGGAAGUGGUCAAGACAACAUCUUGAUAAACAGGAAGUCCUUCAAAGACUGGGCUUCCUGCAAGAAGAUGGCAACAGCAUCCUGACAUGAAAUCAUCAAUGCAGCACCACACAGCGGUUUACCUUUAGAUUUCUGACAGAAACGAGAGCAGGAGAAGACGAUGAUCUCAUCUUCAAGUCAAGAGCCUUCAUAUAGCCGUAUGCACCUGCUCUUACACUGUCUCCUAGCAACCAGAGCGCCAGAGACAGAGAUUGAUUCUUCAGCCGCUUUAUGAGUAUUGUGUGUCUGAUCAUGGCGGUUAAAUGUUGGCUAAUUGAAUUGUGUUUUUUUUUUUUUUUUGCUGAGCACUUUCAAGGCUGACGCCAGGUUUGAGCUCACAUCUCACAGCUCGAGUGCUCCCAAAAUCAUCCUCACAGGCAUUGUAGCCAAGACUGUUUAAUUCAAUUCACUUCCAUUCUGAGAUUCUAGUAACAGAGAUUAACAUAAUAUUUAUAAACAUACAAUGACCAAGCUAAAUGUAAUUAUAAAGCACAUAUGAAUGAAGCAAAACAUAGACAUUCAUGUUCUUGAAUAUGAAAUCAAACUAGACCCUACUGACUUGGUAUUAUUGUAUACAAUUCAUUAUUUUUUCAUUGUAAAGAAAAAAAAUGUUUGUUUUCAUAGUCUUUUCCCAAAAUUACACCAAGAAAUAAAUCUCAAUAUGUCUCCAUUAAUUUCUAGUCUUUAAAAUCAAUAUGAAAUCCAAA
ensembl:lncRNA